rnacentral:rRNA from 1 species
GGGACGAACGCUGGCGGCGUGCUUAACACAUGCAAGUCACGGGGGUCCCGGGGGCAACUCUGGGAUAACCGGCGAACGGGUGCGUAACACGUGAACAACCUGCCCUCGUGUGGGGGAUAGCCGGGCUAACGCCCGGGUAAUACCGCAUACGUUCUUCUGGGGGAGUCCCUGGGAGAGGAAAGCCAGUGGCAACACUGGCGCACGGGGAGGGUUCGCGGCCUAUCAGCUAGUUGGCGGGUAACGCCCACAAGGCGACGACGGGUAGCUGGU